rnacentral:rRNA from 1 species
UACGAAGGGGGCUAGCGUUGUUCGGAAUCACUGGGCGUAAAGCGCACGCAGGCGGAUCGUUAAGUCGGGGGUGAAAUCCCGAGGCUCAACCUCGGAACUGCCUUCGAUACUGGCGAUCUUUGAGUCCGGGAGAGGUGAGUGGAACUCCGAGUGUAGAGGUGAAAUUCGUAGAUAUCGAGAGGAACACCGGUGGCGAAGGCGGCCAACUGGACGAAGACUGACGCUGAGACACGAAAGCGUGGGGAGCAAACAGG